rnacentral:rRNA from 1 species
UACGGAGGAUGCAAGUGUUAUCCGGAAUUACUGGGCGUAAAGCGUCUGUAGGUGGUUCAAUAAGUCAACUGUUAAAUCUUGAGGCUUAACUUCAAAACAGCAGUCGAAACUAUUAGACUAGAGUAUAGUAGGGGUAAAGGGAAUUUCCGGUGGAGCGGUGAAAUGCGUAGAUAUUGGAAAGAACACCGAUGGCGAAAGCACUUUACUGGGCUAUUACUAACACUCAGAGACGAAAGCUAGGGUAGCAAAUGGG